GAUGAACGCUGGCGGCGUGCCUAAUACAUGCAAGUCGAGCGAACAGACGAGUAGCUUGCUCCUCUGACGUUAGCGGCUGACGGGUGAGUAACACGUGGAUAACCUACCUAUAAGACUGGGAUAACUUCGGGAAACCGGAUCUAAUACCGGAUAAUAUAUUGAACCGCAUGGUUCAAUAGUGAAAGACGGUUUUGCUUUCACUUAUAGAUUGAUCCGCGCCGCAUUAGCUAGUUGGUAAGGUAACGGCUUACCAAGGCAACGAUGCGUAGCCGACCUGAGAGGGGGGUCGGCCACACUGGAACUGAGACACGGUCCAGACUCCUACGGGAGGAAGCAGUAGGGAAUCUUCCGCAAUGGGCGAAAGCCUGACGGAGCAACGCCGCGUGAGUGAUGAAGGUCUUAGGAUCGUAAAACUCUGUUAUUAGGGAAGAACAAAUGUGUAAGUAACUAUGCACGUCUUGACGGUACCUAAUCAGAAAGCCACGGCUAACUACGUG
rnacentral:rRNA from 1 species